AUCUUUUGAAGCCUGUUUUCAAGAAGAGUGGGACAACUACUGCUGGAAAUUCUAUCCAGGUGACUGAUGGUGCUGGAGCUGUUCUGCUGAUGAAGAGAAGUGUUGCCAUGCAGAAAGGGCUGCCUGUUCUUGGUGUCUUUAGGACUUUUGCUGCUGUUGGAGUUGACCCUGCUAUCAUGGGAAUUGGCCCAGCUGUUGCAAUCCCAGCUGCUGUGAAGGCUGCUGGCUUGGAACUUGAUGACAUUGAUCUCUUAGAAAUAAAUGAGGUGAGAGUUGGGCAUUUCUGAAGAAAUUCAUGGUGGAGUUUGGGUUGUAUUGAGGAUAUGUUGAUGGAUGCCGGCGAAUGAGUUUGUUGUGAUCUAGUAAUGUUAUGUUUUAUGUUUUUGUUAUGUGUUGUAUAUGACGUUGGAUGCUACUUGGAGCAUAUAUGUGGUUGUUGGAACAUAUAUGUAUGUUAUGUCUUUUAUACAG